AACCCGCCCACAUGAAGUCGGAGUUGCUAGUAAUCGCGGAUCAGCAUGCCGCGGUGAAUACGUUCCCGGGCCUUGUACACACCGCCCGUCACACCAUGGGAGUUGGGAGUGCCCAAAGCCGGUGAGGCAACCGAAAGGAGCCAGCCGUCUAAGGCAAGACCAAUGACUGGGGUGAAGUCGUAACAAGGUAGC
rnacentral:rRNA from 1 species